rnacentral:rRNA from 1 species
UACGGGGGGAGCAAGCGUUGUUCGGAUUUACUGGGCGUAAAGGGCGCGUAGGCGGUCAGCACAAGUCAGUUGUGAAAUCUCCGGGCUUAACUCGGAAAGGUCAACUGAUACUGUGCGACUAGAGUGCAGAAGGGGCAACUGGAAUUCUCGGUGUAGCGGUGAAAUGCGUAGAUAUCGAGAGGAACACCUGCGGCGAAGGCGGGUUACUGGGCUGACACUGACGCUGAUGCGCGAAAGCCAGGGGAGCGAACGGG